rnacentral:rRNA from 1 species
UUGGAGGUGUAAUAGACCCCCAAGGCGACGAUGGGUAGCCGGCCUGAGAGGGUGGACGGCCACACUGGAACUGAGACACGGUCCAGACUCCUACGGGAGGCAGCAGUGGGGAAUCUUCCGCAAUGGGCGCAAGCCUGACGGAGCAACGCCGCGUGAGAGAAGAAGGCCUUCGGGUUGUAAAUCUCUGUCUUUGGGGAAGAAAAAAAUGACGGUACCCGAGGAGGAAGCCCCGGCUAACUACGUGCCAGCAGCCGCGGUAAAACGUAGGGGGCGAGCGUUGUCCGGAAUUACUGGGCGUAAAGGGCGCGCAGGCGGUUAUACAAGUCAGAGGUGAAACCCCCCGGCUCAACCGGAGGCCUGCCUCUGAAACCGUAUGACUUGAGGGCAGGAGAGGGGAGUGGAAUUCCCGGUGUAGCGGUGAUAUGCGUAGAUAUCGGGAGGAACACCAGUGGCGAAGGCGGCUCCCUGGCCUGUUUCUGACGCUGAGGCGCGAAAGCGUGGGUAGCGAACGGGAUUAGAUACCCCGGUAGUCCACGCCGUAAACGAUGGGUGCUAGGUGUAGGAGGUAUCGACCCCUUCUGUGCCGUAGUUAACAC